GUUUGUAAAAGCAAUGUUUCUCCUAUUUUACUCUGAAACUUAUGUUUUAUAGCAAAAGCAUAAACCAUAGCUUUGUAAUGAAUUUUGUAAAUUAGUGCAAGAGGAAUAGAUCCAUCAAGCAUUUUGUAAUUGUGGGUUUUGAUUUGUAAAACAAGAGAUUUUGUAAUGUUACUGUCGUUUAACGAAACAGUAAAGUUUGGAUAGCAAUCGAAAGAGAUUGGUCCUCUACACAAACUAGAUUCUACUGAACUGAGUAAUGAGUCCUGGAAAUUUAUGAACUUAGUAUUUCUAAGAACUGCUAAGAUUGAGGUGUUCAAUCUUUUUUUUGUAAAAGGUUUAAUUCCAACUUGAACUAAACCCAUGUGGAUAUAUUUGUGUUUUUUUUCACGGUAUUUUUGUAAAGAUUUUUGAGACAGAAGAGAAACAAUCUCAAAAGAUUUCGCUCUUUAGUUUUGAUUGUGAAAUCAGUUUU
rnacentral:misc_RNA from 1 species